rnacentral:piRNA from 1 species
UGUGAGGCCUUAGAGAAUAUUUAGCGA